UGACGGUACCUGACUAAGAAGCACCGGCUAAAUACGUGCCAGCAGCCGCGGUAAUACGUAUGGUGCAAGCGUUAUCCGGAUUUACUGGGUGUAAAGGGAGCGCAGACGGAACGGCAAGUCUGAUGUGAAAGCUCAGGGCUCAACCCUGGAACUGCAUUGGAAACUGUCGAUCUGGAGUAUCGGAGGGGUAAGCGGAAUUCCUAGUGUAGCGGUGAAAUGCGUAGAUACUAGGAGGAACACCAGUGGCGAAGGCGGCUUACUGGACGAUAACUGACGUUGAGGCUCGAAAGCGUGGGGAGCAAACAGGAUUAGAUACCCUG
rnacentral:rRNA from 1 species